UAGCCAUGUUGUGGAUAGUGACGUAAUAAGUCUUUGGAUCGCUCCCAUGCUUCAUAAAAAUGCUCUGACUCAAGCUGUCUAAAUUGCCCAAUCUCACUUCUCAACUG